GUGGGGAAUUUUGGACAAUGGGCGCAAGCCUGAUCCAGCAAUGCCGCGUGCAGGAAGAAGGCCUUCGGGUUGUAAACUGCUUUUGUCAGGGAAGAAAUCUUCUGGGCUAAUACCCCGGGAGGAUGACGGUACCUGAAGAAUAAGCACCGGCUAACUACGUGCCAGCAGCCGCGGUAAUACGUAGGGUGCGAGCGUUAAUCGGAAUUACUGGGCGUAAAGCGUGCGCAGGCGGCUUUGCAAGACAGAUGUGAAAUCCCCGGGCUCAACCUGGGAACUGCAUUUGUGACUGCAAGGCUAGAGUACGGCAGAGGGGGAUGGAAUUCCGCGUGUAGCAGUGAAAUGCGUAGAUAUGCGGAGGAACACCGAUGGCGAAGGCAAUCCCCUGGGCCUGCACUGACGCUCAUGCACGAAAGCGUGGGGAGCAAACAGGAUUAGAUACCCUGGUAGUCC
rnacentral:rRNA from 1 species